UAGGAGGAGCUGGAGAAAGAGGGCCUUGAGGAGGUACAGAAGCCCUGCGGAAAGGGAGCAAUCCAGAGAGGGAAAGAAGAGAGUUGCUGCUGCAGAAGAUCUGUGAGAUGCAUCUGCAGCUGGACCAGGAAUUCACACCUUGAUCUAACCACAAAAUGUCAAACUCUUGACUCCAACUACUGCAAGAGUAAAAUACCCAUGCACAGAGAGAAAGUGGAAGGCCAGAACACCUUGAUGCUGAAAACCCUGGUCUUCUACUUUCUGGACUGUGUAAUACAAGAAGGUAUUAAAGUUCUGUUCCUGUGUAUCUGAAAUGGCAGCAUUACUCAUGACUGACAAAUCCAUAGGACAGGAAAAGCUUGAGCUGACUAAUUGCCUGUGCCCCCUGGUUGAUCUCAGAAAUGGUGAAGUUGCUGGAGAAGUUCUAGGCCUUUUACUUAUUAUCUCGUGGUGGUAAGACUGGUAAUAUCACUCAUGACUGGUUUUGCCAAUUUUGUAGCAAUCUGGAAGAUUGGUUUUAUUGUAGUUAAACUGUUGUAAAGCAUUUGAGAACAGAGCACACAAAACUGUGAGGAUAUUAAAACUAUUAUUUUUGCAUUUGCAGCAUAUAGCUGUUUUCUGACUUGUACAGAUUUAUAGCCCAGAGUCCUCCCAUCCAUAAUUAAAAUGAGAUUUUAAAAGUAAUAUAGGUAUGCCACAGCAUUAAGAACUAAUGGAAGCUUUGUAAUGUCAAAAUGAUGGAGACUUUGUAACAAGGCAAAUGGGCAAUC